rfam:Salmo salar isolate Sally breed double haploid chromosome ssa01, whole genome shotgun sequence.
UGCAUUCACUAUUGUAAGUCGCUCUGGGUAAGAGCGUCUGCUAAAUGACUCAAA